rnacentral:rRNA from 1 species
GACAGAGGGUGCAAACGUUGUUCGGAUUUACUGGGCGUAAAGCGCGCGCAGGCGGCUAUCCAAGUCAGUGGUGAAAGCCCGGAGCUCAACUCCGGAACUGCCAUUGAAACUGUUUAGCUUGAGGAUGAGAGAGGUGAGUGGAAUUCCCAGUGUAGAGGUGAAAUUCGUAGAUAUUGGGAAGAACACCGGUGGCGAAGGCGGCUCACUGGCUCAUUACUGACGCUCAGGCGCGAUAGCGUGGGGAUCAAACAGG